rnacentral:piRNA from 1 species
UCCCAGAGCAAGGGAUGUGUGCAGCUGCCU